CAGUAGCCGCGGGAAAACGGAGGGUGCAAGCGUUAAUCGGAAUUACUGGGCGUAAAGCGCACGCAGGCGGUUUGUUAAGUCAGAUGUGAAAUCCCCGAGCUUAACUUGGGAACUGCAUUUGAAACUGGCAAGCUAGAGUCUUGUAGAGGGGGGUAGAAUUCCAGGUGUAGCGGUGAAAUGCGUAGAGAUCUGGAGGAAUACCGGUGGCGAAGGCGGCCCCCUGGACAAAGACUGACGCUCAGGUGCGAAAGCGUGGGGAGCAAACAGGAUUAGAUACCCGCGUAGUCCCUGUCUCUUAUAU
rnacentral:rRNA from 1 species